rnacentral:rRNA from 1 species
AGAUUGAACGCUGGCGGCAUGCCUUACACAUGCAAGUCGAACGGUAGAGUAGCAAUACUCGAGAGUGGCGAACGGGUGAGUAAUAUAUCGGAACGUGCCCAGUCGUGGGGGAUAACGUAGAGAAAUUUACGCUAAUACCGCAUACGAUCUACGGAUGAAAGCGGGGGAUUCGCAAGAACCUCGCGCGAUUGGAGCGGCUGAUAUCAGAUUAGGUU